UGCGGCUACUCACAAUAUUCGCGCUACACAAACCGAGGCAUGCAAUAAUUUAUUUCGUUGCGAUACCACACAAUCUCCGAUUCCGCCGGCGAUGGCCGUCCUCUCCGAUCGCCGCCGCGAGACGCACCGGCGCUCCGCCGGAAAAAACGCCGUCCGGCACCGCGUCGCGAGGCAAGAAUCUUUGCGCAGAGGUAUUGGCCACGUCGCCUCCGAAACCUACCUCAUUACUCGCCUCGCCUUCACGCUUCUUCGCUAUCUCGGGAUUGGUUACCGUUGGAUUACACAAUUACUUGCCCUUGGAUGUUAUGCAUUGCUACUAACCCCCGGAUUUUUACAAGUUGCAUAUUACUAUUUCCUCUCAAACAAGGUAAAGCGAAGCAUUGUUUACGGGGAACAGCCUAGAAACAGGUUGGAUCUGUAUCUACCUGCCGAUGUUAGUGAACCUAAGCCAGUUUUGAUAUUUGUAACUGGGGGAGCAUGGAUUAUUGGGUAUAAAGCAUGGGGCUCCCUUUUAGGGCUACAGUUGGCAGAAAGAGGCAUUAUAGUGGCAUGCAUUGAUUACAGAAAUUUUCCUCAAGGGACCAUCAGUGACAUGGUAAAUGAUACUUCUCAGGGAAUUUCCUUCGUCAUCAGCAACAUAGCUAAUUAUGGAGGUGACCCCAAUAGGAUUUAUCUAAUGGGGCAAUCUGCUGGUGCUCAUAUAUCUUCUUGUGCUUUACUGGAGCAAGCAACCAGAGAAUCGGGAAAAGUAGACAGUGUUUCUUGGAGCAUUUCCCAGAUAAAGGCUUAUUUUGGUUUAUCUGGAGGAUACAACUUAUUGGAUUUAGUGGAUCACUUCCACAAUCGUGGCUUGUAUCGUUCGAUUUUUCUAAGCAUAAUGGAAGGUGAACAAUCUUUGAAGAAAUUUUCUCCUGAAAUUAAAAUUCAAGAUCCAUGCCUCAAAUGUUCCAUUCCUGACUUUCCCCCCGUAUAUCUGUUCCAUGGAACUGCUGAUUAUUCCAUACCAUCAGUUGCCAGUGAACAGUUUGGUGAUGCUCUUAAGAGGGCAGGUGCUAAAGCUGAGGUGAUUCUGUAUGAGGGUAAAACUCAUACAGAUUUGUUUCUCCAAGAUCCACUCCGAGGUGGAAAAGAUGACCUAUUCGACCAUGUAGUUGCCAUUGUACAUUCCAAUGAUAGUGAUGCUCUUGCAAAGGAUGCCACUGCACCCCCAAGAAGACGGUUUGUUCCUGAGAUUUUAUUAAAGUUGGCUAGAAAGAUCAGUCCCUUCUAAGCUUGUAACUGCCAGGGUUCUUGUCGUCUAUAAGCUUGUAACUGAUAGUAUUAACGAACUUCCCUCUGGCUUUGACUCUCCUUCCCCUUCCUCAAGUCAUGUUACUUCUGAAGGACUUCUCAUGUAGCCUCUCCAACGAAUCUAUUCAGUACUUGAAGUAUCCACUAUAAGGGUCUUUGCUUUGGCCUUGGUUGAUGAAUCCAUCCCUUCAAUGUCAAGCAUGUUAGUCUCUCCUUCAGUGCUGCUUUCACUGGAAGAUGUAUCACUUAAUGUGUGAAGCACUGUCAUGUUCUUUUGCUUUGCAUCCUGAAAUGAGAAGCUUUUUGUUUUUCCCAUAUGCACAGGAAGCAUAGACUUUGGUUGUGAGUCAGUCCUGUCCCUUCCCAAACUAUAGGUGGUUGAGAGCUUCCUCUCUAUGCAUUCCCUUUCUCUUACUAUAUCACCCAACUUUUCAAAAACUUCAUUGUCCUCUGCAGCUUUUUUCUCAAGCUCUGUGAUUGUCCUAUCCAAAGCUUUCUUUUUGAGCCGAAGAGAGCACUAAAAGAUCCAAAUGGUAAAAAUAAGUGAAUUAUGAUUGAAGGAACAUUCUAACUUGGUGAAGUAAUAUAAGAAGAAAGGAGGGAAAGAACAAACAACACAAUUUUGGACUAACUCUCUUGCCAAGGAAGCUUCCAAGGCCUUGAUCUUUAAGCUUCUCUUUUGCCCAGAAUGUACAGCAGAAUCUUAAAAGUCCGAUCAGUACCAACAAGAGAGCAGACUCAAAGAGCAGAAACAAUACUAUCGCCCUUUCGUUGCCUGCACAGAACUUAAAACUAUACUCAGUUGUUAAAAUGUUGCCAUAUUCCCUUAAUUUACAAAGCUGUACAUUACCUGUGUAGAUGCUUACAAGCUUGGUUCUCUCUUGAGAGCAGCUAGAUGCAAGCUUCUGACCUAUAAAGUGAUGAGAGAGAGUAAAAGUUGUACUUUGAUAUAGACUCAACUAAAAACAAGAAACUGUAGUUUUGCAUGUUUAAAAAUUGUUGCGUUAUCUUUUUCCAUUAUGUCUUGGUUUCCAUCUAUAUUAGAAAUACUCCUUUUUAACAGUAUAUCAACAUUUGAGAGUCCAUAUCUCAUCUCUUUAAAAUUCCCCAAGGGGCAGUCAAUUCUCUGUUAGUUUUUCACUCUCCAGUUUUAAGCCAAAUUAUAGGAAUAGGAAGCACCAAUGUUGAGAAGACAACA